rnacentral:rRNA from 1 species
UACGUAGGGUGCGAGCGUUAAUCGGAAUUACUGGGCAUAAAGGGUGCGCAGGCGGCGUCGCAAGUCAGGCGUGAAAUCCCCGGGCUUAACCUGGGAACUGCACUUGAAACUACGAUGCUGGAGUAUGGCAGAGGGAGGUGGAAUUCCACGUGUAGCGGUGAAAUGCGUAGAGAUGUGGAGGAACACCGAUGGCGAAGGCAGCCUCCUGGGCCAAUACUGACGCUCAUGCACGAAAGCGUGGGGAGCAAACAGG